AUACGUAGGGGGCGAGCGUUGUCCGGAAUGAUUGGGCGCAAAGGGCGCGUAGGCGGCGCGGUAAGUCUGGAGUGAAAGUCCUGCUUUCAAGGUGGGAAUUGCUUUGGAUACUGCCGCGCUUGAGUGCAGGAGAGGUUAUCGGAAUUCCCGGUGUAGCGGUGAAAUGCGUAGAGAUCGGGAGGAACACCAGUGGCGAAGGCGGGUAACUGGACUGCAACUGACGCUGAGGCGCGAAAGUGUGGGGAGCAAACAGGAUUAGAUACCCUGGUAGUCCACACUGUAAACGAUGAAUGCUAGGUGUAAGAGGUAUCGACCCCUUUUGUGCCGGAGUCAACACAAUAAGCAUUCCGCCGGGGGAGUACGGCCGCAAGAAUGAAACUCAAAGGAAUUGACGGGG
rnacentral:rRNA from 1 species